UUUAAAUUUUUAAAUUUAAAAAAAAAAAAAAAAAAAAAAAA
rnacentral:rRNA from 15 species